AAAAAGAUAAGCUAACUAAAGCUAUUAGGUUCAUACCCUAAAUAUAGGGUUGAUAUUCUUCUUUUUA
rnacentral:tRNA from 2 species